CCGAAUACCAACAAGUUGAGCACGGGAGACACACGGCGGGUGAUAAGGUCCGUCGUAGAAAGGGAAACAGCCCAGACCGUCAGCUAAGGUCCCAAAAUCUAUGCUCAGUGGGAAACGAUGUGGAAAGGCCCAGACAGCCAGGAGGUUGGCUUAGAAGCAGCCAUCCUUUAAAGAAAGCGUAAUAGCUCACUGGUCGAGUCGGUCUGCGCGGAAGAUUUACCGGGGCUAAGCAUAGUACCGAAGCUACGGGUUCAUCUUAGGAUGAGCGGUAGAGGAGCGUUCUGUACGCCUGCGAAGGUGAACUGAGAAGUUUGCUGGAGGUAUCAGAAGUGCGAAUGCUGACAUGAGUAACGAUAAUGGGGGUGAAAAACCCCCACGCCGAAAACCCCAAGGUUUUCCUGCGCAACGCUAAUCGACGCAGGGUUAGUCGGUACCUAAGGCGAGGCCGAAAGGCGUAGUCGAUGGCAAACAGGUUAAUAUUCCUGUACCGGUGGUAACUGCGAUGGGG
rnacentral:rRNA from 1 species